rnacentral:tRNA from 1 species
AUACUUUUAUUAUAAUAAGUAAAUGUAACUUCCAAUUACAAAGUCCUCUCAGCGGGAAAGUAUA